AACGAACGCUGGCGGCGCGCCUAACACGUGCAAGUCGAACGAGAAGGCGUAGCAAUACGCUUGUAGAGUGGCGAACGGGUGAGUAAUACGUGGGUGACCUACCUCGAGUGGGGAAUAACCCGCCGAAAGGCGGGCUAAUGCCGCGUACGCUUCCGUCCUCACGGGGACGAAGGAAAGCUGUACCGUGGGUACGGCGCUCAAGGAUGGGCUCACGUCCUAUCAGCUUGUUGGUAGGGUAACGGCCUACCAAGGCUACGACGGGUAGCUGGUCUGAGAGGACGAUCAGCCACACUGGCACUGCGACACGGGCCAGACUCCUACGGGAGGCAGCAGUGAGGAAUAUUGCGCAAUGGGCGAAAGCCU
rnacentral:rRNA from 1 species